rnacentral:lncRNA from 1 species
UUCGGGGGCAAGUUUCGGGGGCCAAAAGGCACUCCAGAGACGAAAGUCUCUAACCUUCGGCGGCACCUUCGGCGGCCGAAUCCCCCAAACAGAGCCGAACAUUCAAAACUCGCGGGGGCAAGCUGUGGCAGCCUAAGCCACCAUGCAAGAGGUUCGGCGGCCGAAUGAACCUUCGGCUGCCGAACCUAAGUUCAUCCAGAACUCAGCCCCGACGGCA